rnacentral:tRNA from 1 species
GGGCGAGUAGCUCAGCUGGCGGAGCAUUCGGCUUACAUCCGAAAGGUCACAGGUUCAAGUCCUGUCUCGCCCACC